GAGUUUGAUCAUGGCUCAGAACGUACGCUGGCGGCACGCCUAACACAUGCAAGUCGAACGAAGUAGCAAUACUUAGUGGCAGACGGGUGAGUAACAUGUAGGUAUCUACCCUUUGGCCUGGAAUAACACGAGGAAACUUGUGCUAAUACCGGAUAAGUCUUUACGGAGAAAGCUUUAUGCACCAUUGGAUGAGCCUGCACUUGAUUAGUUUGUUGGUAGGGUAAUGGCCUACCAAGACUAUGAUCAAUAGCUGAUUUGAGAGGAUGAUCAGCCACAUUGGGACUGAGACACGGCCCAAACUCCUACGGGAGGCAGCAGUGGGGAAUCUUGUACAAUGGAGGAAACUCUGAUGCAGCGAUGCCGCGUGAGUGAAGAAGGCCCUUGGGUUGUAAAGCUCUUUCGUCGGGGAAGAAAAUGACUGUACCCGAAUAAGAAGGUCCGGCUAACUUCGUGCCAGCAGCCGCGGUAAUACGAAGGGACCUAGCGUAGUUCGGAAUUACUGGGCUUAAAGAGUUCGUAGGUGGUUGAAAAAGUUGGUGGUGAAAUCCCAGAGCUUAACUCUGGAACUGCCAUCAAAACUUUUCAGCUAGAGUAUGAUAGAGGAAAGCAGAAUUUCUAGUGUAGAGGUGAAAUUCGUAGAUAUUAGAAAGGAUACCAAUUGCGAAGGCAGCUUUCUGGAUCAUUACUGACACUGAGGAACGAAAGCAUGGGUAGCGAAGAGGAUUAGAUACCCUCGUAGUCCAUGCCGUAAACGAUGUGUGUUAGACGUCGGAAAUUUAUUUUCAGUGUCGCAGCGAAAGCGAUAAACACACCGCCUGGGGAGUACGACCGCAAGGUUAAAACUCAAAUGAAUUGACGGGGACCCGCACAAGUAGUGGAGCAUGUGGUUUAAUUCGAAGAUACGCGCAGAACCUUACCAACACUUGACAUGUUCGUCGCGACUCUAAGAGAUUAGAGUUUUCGGUUCGGCCGGACGAAACACAGGUGCUGCAUGGCUGUCGUCAGCUCGUGUCGUGAGAUGUUGGGUUAAGUCCCGCAGCGAGCGCAACCCUCACUUUAGUUGCCAUCAUUAAGUUGGGCACUCUGAAAGAACUGCCAGUGAUAAGCUGGAGGAAGGUGGGGAUGACGUCAAGUCCUCAUGGCCCUUACGUGUUGGGCUACACACGUGCUACAAUGGUAUUUACAACAGGAAGCAAAACGGCAACGUUAAGCAAAUCCCGAAAAGAUACCUCAGUUCGGAUUGCACUCUGCAACUCGAGUGCAUGAAGCUGGAAUUACUAGUAAUCGUGGAUCAGCGUGCCACGGUGAAUGCGUUCCCGGGUCUUGUACACACCGCCCGUCACACCAUGGGAGUUGGUUCUACCUUAAGGCAAGGUUUUAAACCCUUGACCACGGUAUAGUCAGCGACUGGGGUGAAGUCGUAACAAGGUAACC
rnacentral:rRNA from 1 species